UACAGAGGUCUCAAGCGUUGUUCGGAUUCAUCGGGCGUAAAGGGUGCGUAGGUGGCGCGCUAAGUCAGGUGUGAAAUUUCGGAGCUUAACUCCGAAACUGCAUUUGAUACUGGCGUGCUUGAGGACUGGAGAGGAGACUGGAAUUCACGGUGUAGCAGUGAAAUGCGUAGAGAUCGUGAGGAAGACCAGUGGCGAAGGCGAAUCUCUGGACAGAUCCUGACGCUGAGGCACGAAGGCUAGGGGAGCAAACGGG
rnacentral:rRNA from 1 species